CCCCGAACCAUCACUUCUGACCGAGGUUCGCUGUUCACCUCUGCUUUUUGGUCCCGUCUCCAUCAGGCCCUCGGGACGGAAUUGAAAUACAGUACCGCUUAUCAUCCUCAGACGGAUGGGCAAACAGAAAGAGUAAAUCAGAUACUCGAAGAUAUGCUCCGAGCCUGUGUUUUGGCCCAAGGACCCCAAUGGGAAGAUUGCUUGCCGUACGCCGAGUUCUCGUAUAACAAUGGGUUCCAGACCAGUUUAAAAAUGUCACCAUAUGAAGCUUUGUAUGGCCGUAAGUGCCGCACUCCAUUAAAUUGGUCUCAAACCGGAGAUAGCCGUAUUUUCGAAAUAGAUCUCAUGCUGGAAGCCGAAGAGCAAGUCAAGGAGAUCCGAGACAGAUUACAAUUGGCCAAAUCGCGACAGAAAAGUUAUUACGAU
rnacentral:rRNA from 1 species